GCGCGAAAACUUUACAAUGCGGGAAACCGCGAUAAGGGGGACACCGAGUGCCAGCAUCCUAUGUUGGCUGUCCAUAUGUAUAAAUAACAUGUGUUAGCAAGGGCCGGGCAAGACCGGUGCCAGCCGCCGCGGUAACACCGGCGGCCCGAGUGGUGGCCACUAUUAUUGGGUCUAAAGGGUCCGUAGCCGGUUUGGUCAGUCUUCCGGGAAAUCUGACGGCUUAACCGUUAGGCUUUCGGGGGAUACUGCCAGGCUUGGGACCGGGAGAGGUAAGAGGUACUACGGGGGUAGGAGUGAAAUCCUGUAAUCCUUGGGGGACCACCUGUGGCGAAGGCGUCUCACCAGAACGGCUCCGACAGUGAGGGACGAAAGCUGGGGGAGCGAAACCGGAUUAGAUACCCGGGUAGUCCCAGCCGUAAACGAUGCGCGUUAGGUGUAUCGGUGACCACGAGUCACCGAGGUGCCGAAGAGAAAUCGUGAAACGUGCCGCCUGGGAAGUACGGUCGCAAGGCUAGAAACUUAAAGGAAUUGGGCGGGGGAGCACCGACAACAGGUGGAGCCGUGUAC
rnacentral:rRNA from 1 species